rnacentral:rRNA from 1 species
GACGAACGCUGGCGGCGUGCCUAAUACAUGCAAGUAGAACGCUGAAGCUUGGUGCUUGCCCCGAGCGGAUGAGUUGCGAACGGGUGAGUAACGCGUAGGUAACCUGCCUGGUAGCGGGGGAUAACUAUUGGAAACGAUAGCUAAUACCGCAUAAUAGUAGAUGUUGCAUGACCUUUGCUUAAAAGGUGCAAUUGCAUCACUACCAGAUGGACCUGCGUUGUAUUAGCUAGUUGGUGAGGUAACGGCUCACCAAGGCAACGAUACAUAGCCGACCUGAGAGGGUGAUUCGCCACACUGGGAAUGGGACACGGCCCAAACUUCUUCGGGAGGCAACAGUAGGGAAACUUCGGCAAUGGGCGGAAGGCUGAACGAGCAACGGCGCGUGAGGGAAGAAGGGUUUCGGAUCGUAAAGGUCUGUUGUAAGGGGAGAACGAGUGGGAGGGUGGAAAGUUCACACUGUGACGGUAUCUUACCAGAAAGGGACGGCUAACUACGUG